UACGUAGGUGGCAAGCGUUGUCCGGAUUUACUGGGCGUAAAGAGCGCGCAGGCGGUCGAAUAAGUCGAAUGUGAAAGCCCCGGCUUAACUGGGGAGGUCAUUCGAUACUGCUCGACUUGAAGGCAGGAGAGGGUAGUGGAAUUCCCGGUGUAGUGGUGAAAUGCGUAGAUAUCGAGAGGAACACCUGCGGCGAAGGCGGGUUGCUGGGCUGACACUGACGCUGAGGCGCGAAAGCUAGGGGAGCGAACGGG
rnacentral:rRNA from 1 species